rnacentral:rRNA from 1 species
ACUCCUACGGGAGGCAGCAGUGAGGAAUUUUCCGCAAUGGGUGAAAGCCUGACGGAGCAAUGCCGCGUGGAGGAAGAAGGCCUUAGGGUUGUAAUCUCCUUUUCUCAUUGAAGAAGUUCUGACGGUAUUUGAGGAAUAAGCAUCGGCUAACUUUGUGCCAGCAGCCGCGGUAA